GGCACUGUAGCUCAGUUGGUAGAGCACAUGCUUAACAUGAUCUCAAUGAAUCGCAUGUUGUCGUCGGUUCGAGCCCGGCCAGAGUCA
rfam:Puccinia graminis f. sp. tritici CRL 75-36-700-3 supercont2.51 genomic scaffold, whole genome shotgun sequence.